UUUGGCGUUGGGAUUAUUCUUGAUAAUGCCGUUGCCUACGGCGUGCAACAGGUGAGUCUUACCCAGACCGGUACCGCCAUA
rnacentral:antisense_RNA from 1 species